GACGAACGCUGGCGGCGUGCCUAAUACAUGCAAGUAGAACGCUGAAGGAGGAGCUUGCUUCUCUGGAUGAGUUGCGAACGGGUGAGUAACGCGUAGGUAACCUGCCUGGUAGCGGGGGAUAACUAUUGGAAACGAUAGCUAAUACCGCAUAAUAGCAGUUGUUGCAUGACAACUGUUUGAAAGGUGCAAUUGCACCACUACCAGAUGGACCUGCGUUGUAUUAGCUAGUUGGUGGGGUAACGGCUCACCAAGGCGACGAUACAUAGCCGACCUGAGAGGGUGAUCGGCCACAAUGGGACUGAGACACGGCCCAGACUCCUACGGGAGGCAGCAGUAGGGAAUCUUCGGCAAUGGACGGAAGUCUGACCGAGCAACGCCGCGUGAGUGAAGAAGGUUUUCGGAUCGUAAAGCUCUGUUGUAAGAGAAGAACGAGUGUGAGAGUGGAAAGUUCACACUGUGACGGUAUCUUACCAGAAAGGGACGGCUAACUACGUG
rnacentral:rRNA from 1 species